rnacentral:RNase_P_RNA from 1 species
AUCACAGGCCAUUCUAUCGCUACUGAUGUAAAUCGGGAGAGGAAAGUCCGGGCAACACAGAGCAUCCUGCUUCCUAACGGGAAGGCUUCCGGUAACGGAAUACGGAAAGUGCCACAGAAAAUAAACUACUCCGAUUUAUCGGAGAAAAGGUGAAAACGUGAGGUAAGAGCUCACGGCUUGUUAUGGCGACAUAGCUUGCGGUAAACCCCAGGAGUUGAAAGGCCAAAUAAGUCACGAACCAGGAGUUGCUCGCUCCUUAAGAUGCAAAUCUUUUUCGUGAUGGGUAGGCCGUUAGAUUGUAUCAGUGAUGGUGCAGCCAGAUAAAUGAUAGAAUCCGGAUCUUAGGAUUGGGAACAGGACCCGGCUUACAGGCUUGUGAUAGUA